GACUUAGAGCUUUAGAAUGAUGUAUUGUUAGUCAUGGUUACUCUUCUCCCUAUUUAUUUAAUCUAUUGCUAAACAUUAACACCUGAGAACAAUUGGCUAUUAGUUGCGUUCAAACAACCACGAAGCCUAAGAGGUUAAAUAACCUAUAAGGGUGAUUUCAUCAGAAGGUAUGCACCUGCAAGGCUAUAAAUAGACACAGCAUAGCCUUCAGGUUAUACCUUUGUUUAAAGAAACUUUUGGACAUGCCCGAAGAGCGGCAAUAAGGCACAGCAUCUGGGAACAGAGUUACAGUCAAUAACCCGUGAUGUUAACUAUUAAAAGCUACACUCAAUGCUGUGUUACUGCAUUAUUGUUACUGUGUAACAGUAUGGGAAUAAUAAUAUAAAUGUUGCAAAGUGUCUGAAACCAUUAAACUUGUGUAGUGUGUGCACACAAACAUUGAACAGGUCUCAGACAUGGCUUUGGGAUGCUGACUCAAAGAAAUAUGAGCACGGAGUCGCAUGUGUGCAGAGGACCAGCCUGCUGCAUUGCAUAAGAGACACCUCUUGCUAGAACCUUGGAGAAUGCAAGCCCCCUGGUUGAAUGGACCCUAUCUCCUAAAGAUGGAGUUUGACCACUCUCCUCAUUGGCUAGGGGUUGCCUAGUGCCAGCUGCACCAGUUGUGUUCCCCAUAGCAUAUGAAAAGCUGCUAAGACUUACACCACUGGCUAAUGUGGUGGGCAUAAGUGUGAAGAGGUAUGUACUGGACUCAAUAGAUGAAGUCUUUCUCACUCUGGAGUGUCAAACAGCUUCAAAAAAGACCAGAUUUAUGGUUGAGAAUGAAAUUUUAGGAAGAUAAUCUAAGCUAAGCAACAGAGUGUGAGACUGACAGAGCCUGCAAAGUAAUUGACCUGAGAAAAAACAUAUUUCGAGUCAGAUGCUGGAGAGGUGCUGCCUCUAAUGGUUCAAAAGCAGUCCCAACCAGACCCUUGACCACUACAAAGUCACAUAAAGACAAUUUUCCUCUUAUGGGUAACCUCAAUUGCUUAGCUCCAUAAAUUAAGUGAAUGAAUCCUGGUUGCUUCUUCUACAGAGAUCCCAUCAAUCAGAGAAUGGCAAGCUAAAAUGGCAGGCACACAUACCAGUAUAUGUACCUGAAGACAGUUCUUCUUGCAGGAACUCCAGCACUGAAACAGCUGGGUAUAGCUUUUUCUACUGGGAGGAGCUCUAGCACAUAGCUGGAAGCCCAGCAUUCCAGGUUCCAGAGCUCAGGCCAGAGAUGAAACACUAUCCUCUGUGCCUGAAACAGGAAAUCUCCCCCGAAUGGGCACACCUAAGGCAAUCCAUCAAUGAGGGGGUAUAAGAUCUAAAAGCUUAACUCUGUUCAGCCAAAAAGGUGCUAUCAGUAAGAGGCGGGAUCAUGUAUGUUGAAAGACUCAGGACUCACAGCAGAGCAAUUGGGAAAAAGACCCAUUCUGAGCUAUUGUGUCCAGACCCAGGGAGCUGGAGCAGUCAAAAGAGAAGUAGAGGGGACAUUGUGUUAUUUCCUGGGCAGCAAAAGGUGCACAAAAAUUUGACUGACUACUUCAGAGUGGAGUUUCCAUUAAUUUUGUGUCACAGUUUGUCUGGACAGCACCGGAAUGUAACUCGCUCUGAGCGACAGGAACUUGUCUUGUCUCAAAGCAGGACCUGCUUUGCUACCCUGUUCAGGUGACACGAAUGCAGUCCGCUUUGGCAAUUUACAAAAGAGACUACUACAGUGUGGUCCACCCACACUAGGACAUAAUAAACUUUCAACUGGAGGAAGUGUUUGAGGGCCAGUCAAGAAGAUGAUCUAAAACCGCACCCUAGCCUGUGAGUGAUCAGGAGGUGCAUAAAAGCCGAGGGAGUGGAGGCAUGUGGGUGUGUGUGGGCCAGUAGUGCCGCGUGAGCGCUGAGCAACCAGACACCAGUGUAACAGAUAAACAAAAUAUUGAAUAAAGAACGGCGGUGACGCCUGUGAACCGA